CACGACCGUACCGCAAACCGACACAGGUGCGCGAGAUGAGUAUUCUAAGGCGCUUGAGAGAACUCUGGAGAAGGAACUCGGCAAAUUGACACCGUAACUUCGGAAGAAGGUGUGCCUUUAGUAGGUGAAGUCGUACAGACGGAGCCCAAUGAGGCCGCAGAGAAUCGGUGGCUGCGACUGUUUAUUAAAAACACAGCACUCUGCAAAGACGAAAGUCGACGUAUAGGGUGUGACGCCUGCCCGGUGCUGGAAGAUUAAAUGAUGGGGUGCAAGCUCUUGACUGAAGUCCCAGUAAACGGCGGCCGUAACAGUAACGGUCCUAAGGUAGCGAAAUUCCUUGUCGGGUAAGUUCCGACCUGCACGAAUGGCGUAACGAUGGCCACACUGUCUCCUCCAGAGACUCAGCGAAGUUGAAAUGUUUGUGAUGAUGCAAUCUCCCCGCGGAAAGACGGAAAGACCCCAUGAACCUUUACUGUAGCUUUACAUUGGACUUUGAACAGAUCUGUGUAGGAUAGGUGGGAGGCUUUGAAGCGGUGCCGCUAGGUGUCGUGGAGCCAACGUUGAAAUACCACCCUGGUGUGUUUGAGGUUCUAACCUUGGCCCGUUAUCCGGGUUGGGGACAGUGUAUGGUGUGCAGUUUGACUGGGGCGGUCUCCUCCCAAAGCGUAAUGGAGGAGUUCGAAGGUACGCUAGGCACGGUCGGAAAUCGUGCUGAUAGUGCAUAGGCAUAAGCGUGCUUGACUGCGAGACUGACAAGUCGAGCAGGUACGAAAGUAGGACUAAGUGAUCCGGUGGUUCUGUAUGGAAGGGCCAUCGCUCAACGGAUAAAAGGUACUCUGGGGAUAACAGGCUGAUACCGCCCAAGAGUUCAUAUCGACGGCGGUGUUUGGCACCUCGAUGUCGGCUCAUCUCAUCCUGGGUCUGUAGCCGGUCCCAAGGGUAUGGCUGUUCGCCAUUUAAAGAGGUACGUGAGCUGGGUUUAAAACGUCGUGAGACAGUUUGGUCCCUAUCUUCCGUGGGCGCUGCAAGAUUGAGAGAGCCUGCUCCUAGUACGAGAGGACCGGAGUGGACGCACCUCUGGUGUAUCGGUUGUCACGCCAGUGGCAUUGCCGAGUAGCUAAGUGCGGAAGAGAUAACCGCUGAAAGCAUCUAAGCGGGAAGCUCGUCUCAAGAUGAGUCUUGCCGGGGCCUUGAGCCCCCUGAAGAGUCGUUCUAGACCAGGACGUUGAUAGGCUGGGUGUGGAAGCGCAGUAAUGCGUUAAGCUAACCAGUACUAAUUGCUCGUGCGGCUUGACCC
rnacentral:rRNA from 1 species